rnacentral:rRNA from 1 species
UGGGGAAUCUUGCACAAUGGGGGAAACCCUGAUGCAGCGACGCCGCGUGAGCGAUGAAGGUUUUCGAAUCGUAAAGCUCUGUCCUAUGGGAAGAUAAUGACGGUACCAUAAGAAAAAGCCCCGGCUAACUACGUGCCAGCAGCCGCGGUAAUACGUAGGGGGCUAGCGUUGUCCGGAAUCACUGGGCGUAAAGGGUUCGCAGGCGGAAAUGCAAGUCAGGUGUAAAAGGCAGUAGCUUAACUACUGUAAGCAUUUGAAACCGCAUAUCUUGAGAAGAGUAGAGGUAAGUGGAAUUUUUAGUGUAGCGGUGAAAUGCGUAGAUAUUAAAAAGAAUACCGGUGGCGAAGGCGACUUACUGGGCUCAUUCUGACGCUGAGGAACGAAAGCGUGGGUAGCAAACAGG